rnacentral:rRNA from 1 species
UACGUAGGAUGCAAGCGUUGUCCGGAUUUACUGGGCGUAAAGCGCGCGUAGGUGGCCAUUUAAGUCCGCUGUGAAAGUCAAAGGCUCAACCUUUGAAAGCCGGUGGAUACUGGAUGGCUAGAGUACGGAAGAGGCGAGUGGAAUUCCUGGUGUAGCGGUGGAAUGCGCAGAUAUCAGGAGGAACACCAAUAGCGAAGUCAGCUCGCUGGGACGUUACUGACACUGAGGCGCGAAAGCGUGGGGAGCGAACAGG